GGCAGUGUUGUCUAGUGGAUAGGGCACUCAUCUGGGACACAGGAGGGCCUGGGUUCUAGUCCCAGCUCUGCCA
rnacentral:tRNA from 1 species